GUAUAUUUUGGGUUUUUGUUGUGUUUAUUAGAAAAUUUGUUUUUAGUAGUUUGAGCGAAGUUUGGUGGUUUCCUAGAGAGGAUUUAGUACUGAGAAGGAAAGUUAUAUUAUUUAUUUUGAAUAUUAGGCUUGUUAGUACCUUUUGUAUUAGGGUUGAUUUAUGUGGUUUUGCUUUUGUUAUUUCUCGAUGAGUAUCGGGCUAUUUUUCCUUGGUUUAUUCUCGUUGUAUAGAGUUGUAUAGGGGGUUAUAGGUAUGAAAUAUUAUUCAAGUUGCUUUUUAUCUAGUUCUUUAAGAAAUUUAAUAGUUGGUAGUGUUAUUAUGACGAUAAGCAGGGAUUAGCUUGUUUAUUUUUUAUAUUGGGUUGUGGUUGAAGUUUGUUUGUUAAGUUGAUAGUGCUUGUUUUAAUGGAGUUAUUAUUGAGCAGGUUAUCUUUAUUAUUUUUUGGUUUUGUUUUUGUAUUGGGGUUGGUUUGUUAAUUUUUAGUGGUCUGUAAUAAUGAUUGUAUUAGUAAUAAUUUUUAUUAGUUUACUUUUAUUUUGUUCUGAUUGAUAUUUUAGGUAGGUGUAAUUUUAAAUUAGAAUUAAUGAAUUAGGCAAUACGAACUUCUGACUGUUUAGCAAAGACAUUGUUUUUUGUUGUGGUAAAAAAUAAGUUCUGUCCACUGCUAUUAGGUGAAGGGCUGCAGUAUUUUGACUGUAUGAAGGUAGCAUAAUCAUUAGCUUCUUAAUUAGAAGCUGGUAUGAAGGUGAAACAGGGGUUUGCUGUAUUUUUUCUAUUUGUUGAAUUUUAUUUUCAUGUGAAAAAUCAUGAUUGGGUUAAUGGGACAAGAAGACCCUAAUAAGUUUUAUUCUUUUUCUUAAUGCGUGUAUAGUUUUUGAUUUAUGUAAUUUAUUUGGGGGAGUUUGGCUGGGGCGGCAGUUUAUUUAACAUAGAUUAAUUUUUAACUUUGUAUGGCGGUAUGUUGGACCUAGUUUGUUUAUAUCAGUGUAAAAUUACUGUAGGGAUAACAGCGUGAUUUUUUUUGAGAGUUCUAAUUGACAAUAAAGUUUGCGACCUCGAUGUUGGAUUAAGAAGAGCGUUGGCGAAGUAGUUGAUGUUUUGGUCUGUUCG
rnacentral:rRNA from 1 species